rnacentral:sRNA from 1 species
UUGAAAGAUGACUGCCGAAGACAGCAGGUGCCGUAAGGCGUAAGGGACAGCCGCCUGCCGAGGAGUAUGAAUUCUUCAGGAAUGGAAUUUGUGCCUCUCUGCGCUGGCAGAGGGGUUUUCUUUUAU